rnacentral:rRNA from 1 species
GAUGAACGCUGGCGGCGCGCCUAACACAUGCAAGUCGAACGGUUAAAGCACCUUUUAGGUGUGUAUAAAGUGGCGAACGGCUGAGUAACACGUGGGCAACCUGCCCUCCUCUUGGGGAUAGCCUCAGGAAACCGAGGAUAAUACCCGAUACUUCAAUGUGGCCGCAUGACGACAUUGAGAAAGCUUUUGCGGAGAAGGAUGGGCCCGCGGCCUGUUAGCUUGUUGGUGGGGUAGAGGCCUACCAAGGCAAUGAUGGGUAGCUGGGUUGAGAGACCGACCAGCCAGAUUGGGACUGAGACACGGCCCAGACUCCUACGGGAGGCAGCAGUGGGGAAUCUUGCACAAUGGGCGAAAGCCUGAUGCAGCGACGCCGCGUGCGGGACGAAGGCCUUCGGGUUGUAAACCGCUUUCAGCAGGGACGAGGCGAUAAGUGACGGUACCUGCAGAAGAAGCCCCGGCUAACUACGUG